AUUGAACGCUGGCGGCAGGCCUAACACAUGCAAGUCGAGCGAGUGGCGGACGGGUGAGUAAUGUAUGGGGAUCUGCCCGAUAGAGGGGGAUAACUACUGGAAACGGUGGCUAAUACCGCAUACUAUCGGAUGAACCCAGAUGGGAUUAGCUAGUAGGUGGGGUAAAGGCUCACCUAGGCGACGAUCCCUAUCUGGUCUGAGAGGAGGAUCAGCCACACUGGAACUGAGACACGGCCCAGACUCCUACGGGAGGCAGCAGUGGGGAAUAUUGCGCAAUGGGCGCAAGCCUGAUGCAGCCAUGCCGCGUGUAUGAAGAAGGCCUUAGGGUUGUAAAGUACUUUCAGCGGGGAGGCGUUACCCGCAGAAGAAGCACCGGCUAACUCCGUGCCAGCAGCCGCGGUAAUUC
rnacentral:rRNA from 1 species